GCGUGUGUGUGUGUGUGUUUCGGUUAAUGGUCUCAGCUUCACUUAUACACAGGCAGAUUAGGAGCCUGGGAAAUAGGAGGCUCUCUCUCUGGCAAGGAGCAAAGCUUUCCCUCUGCUCCUCGCUCUCUCUUUCUCUUUUUUACUCUCACUUGCUGGCUCUCCGGGUAUGGCAUUUCUCGGACAUUUCGCAGUGGCAGCGUCGCAGCAGCAGCUCAGUCGACAACUGACAGCCAACCAGCAGCAUAUUUUUUUGGUUCUCCCUCUAUUAAUUCGACUAUUGUUAACCUAGUUUCACUUCCCAAAAACAAAAAAAAAUUCAAAAACCAACAAGGACGAGUUCAGAGCAGCGCUGGCUCCUCUGUCUUCGAUUAACCCACAAAAUAAAUCUUGAAAAUCUUGUAAAGAAACCAAAAAAAAAGAAAGUCUAUCGCCAAGGACUUGACGCGUAGAGAGGACGAAACAAAAAUUAUUCCACUCCAUUUUUCGGUUCUCCUCGGAGCAGGAUCAUCGCCCCCCACCCAUCCCAAUCGUAUCCCCCCCCGUAGCAGUAGUAUAUCCUUGGCAUUAUCCUUCCAUCAACUAUCC